AAGCAAAACCCUAUCAUCAUAUCGCACUCGAUAACUCCCAGCUCCCACUAAACCAGAGCUUAAAAGGAAAUCGUCGAACCCUAAUUUGAGAUCCCUAUUCAACCAAAUUUAAAAAAAAACAAAUGAUAUCGCACUCGAUUAUUCCCAACUACCACUAAAUCGGGGCUUAAAAGGAAAUUGACGAACCCUAAUUCGACAUCCCAACGAUCACAAAAAGGCAACAAAGGGGCCAAAAAAAAAAAAGGGAUUCCAAGCAAACCCAACCCACCUCGUACAAGCUCUUCCCUUCAACCAAAAUAAAAAAAAAAAGCAUAUCGCACUCGAUUAUUCCGAACCCUAAUUCGAGAUCCAACGAUCCCAAAAUGGCAAAAAGCGGGCAAAAUAUUGGAUUCGAAGCAAACUCACCUCGUACAAGCUCUUCCCCUCGGCGUCGCCGCCGAGGGCGGCUGCGGAGGGGAUCUCUCCGGCGCCGCCUUCGUCCUCGGCAUCGGCAUCGGCGUCGCAAACCCUAGUUUUCUUUUUUCGCCCCAUUUUCGCCAAUAAUAAAUAGAAUAUAUUAUAAUAAAUCCAUCUAUGUAUUGUAUUGUAUAUAAUGAAUUCCCAGUCCACAGUGACGUGGCCGAGAGGGGAGUGGGGUGGGGCCCAGCCCCCAGGGAUGGGCCCUUUUUUAUUUUAUUUUAUUU
rnacentral:lncRNA from 1 species